UAAAGGUCCAGUGGAGCAAUCAUAGUGUUCGUGAAGCUACUUGGGAGUUAGAAGAAGAGAUGAGAGAAAAGCAUCCUCAAUUAUUUCAAGACUCAGGUAUGUCAAGUUUAGAGGACUAAACUUUUGUUAAGGAGGGGAGGAUGUAACGCCCAAGCAUUUUCUCUUAAGGGUAAUUUAGGAAAUUGUUAUUAAUAAUUAAAUUAAUUGAUUAAUUAAUUUAAUAAAGUGGAAGAGGGGUAAAAGUGUAAUUUUACGAAUAAAUACCCUAGGUAUAAAUUAGAAAUUUUAUUCUUUCCCUUCUUUUCUGAAUAGAGUUCCUGUUCGCAGAAUUCCAGAGAACGUAAGGUUGGAGUCAGAUUUCAGGGUUGAAGAACAGAUCUCUAUAGGUGAAGAGUAGAUUUUAAGGAUUAUUUUUCUCCAAAGUUUUUGAGGACUUCUUUUGAGGUACUCUUAGUUCGGGUGAGGAGUGAUGGCUAGGCUGAGAAAUGGUCAUCAUUAGGAUUUGACUUAGGA